GAUGAACGCUGGCGGCGUGCCUAAUACAUGCAAGUCGAGCGAACAGACGAGGAGCAUGCUCCUCUGACGUUAGCGGCGGACGGGUGAGUAACACGUGGAUAACCUACCUAUAAGACUGGGAUAACUUCGGGAAACCGGAGCUAAUACCGGAUAACAUGUUGAACCGCAUGGUUCAACAGUGAAAGACGGUCUUGCUGUCACUUAUAGAUGGAUCCGCGCCGCAUUAGCUAGUUGGUAAGGUAACGGCUUACCAAGGCAACGAUGCGUAGCCGACCUGAGAGGGUGAUCGGCCACACUGGAACUGAGACACGGUCCAGACUCCUACGGGAGGCAGCAGUAGGGAAUCUUCCGCAAUGGGCGAAAGCCUGACGGAGCAACGCCGCGUGAGUGAAGAAGGUCUUCGGAUCGUAAAACUCUGUUAUUAGGGAAGAACAAAUGUGUAAGUAACUAUGCACGUCUUGACGGUACCUAAUCAGAAAGCCACGGCUAACUACGUG
rnacentral:rRNA from 1 species